UUAAAUAUGUAAUUAUACUGUAACAAGAAAACAAGGUAUUUCCUGUUAAUAACUCCUGUAAUAUCACAAACCUUCACGAAGGUCUGGUUACUCGUACCACACACGCUUGACCGCAGCAGCUGCAGUGUUACAGUCACAGCUCCAGCCUCCAGAGGUCAGCAGGUCGGGUCAAAGGUCAGCUGACGUCUAAAAAGAGUACCACACGCGUUUGAACUUGAGUGACAUCUGACGACAUGCACAGGUGUGUGUGUGUGUGUGUGUGUGUGUGUGUGUACAGGUGCAGCGCUGCAGUCAGUCUUCAGUAUGAGAGCGGCUCUGAGCAUCAGUGUUGCUGUGGUUCUGUUGCCGAUCUUCAUGUGUCAUCAGACAACAAGGCAGACUGGUUCUGAAGGAGCGGCGUCGAGGUCGUGGAGCUCCUGGGGUUCGUGGGGCGAGUGUUCGCGCUCCUGCGGCAGAGGAGUUCAGGAACAGACCAGAGUCUGUCUGCCACACUAUCCAGCAGUCCGUGAUGCAUCAGCAGCACAGAACACGGCCUCAAACACGCCUAACCAGAGACGCCUGAGCCUCGGCAGAUAUGGAUGGAGGAGAGCGAACAGUAGCCGUAUCAGUCCAGGGGCGUACGGAUACGGCAGGAUGCCAUACGUAACACCUCUACAGAAAGAAUCCAGCCGAUCAUCCCACAAACAGAGACGAUCAGCAUCAAACUUCCCACACCAGAGUUACAGGACUCAUCAGAGAAGCCCGUCUCAAAACACCCGCUAUCACACAGCCGCCCACCCGCCCACUGCUGCCCAACACUCCCGACCGCAGAUGAACACAGCAGCAGUGCAGAGCAGACCGUACAGCCCGCUACCAAACACCUCCUGCCCUGGAGCCCCGAACCGGCACAAGAUCUGCAACAGCAUGGUAACAUCUGCAGAGAAACACCUCUGAUUAUACCUAAAUAGGCAUUAUACAUCUGCUUAUAACAGUUAAUUCCGGUAACACAUUAGACAUUCUAACUAU
rnacentral:lncRNA from 12 species